GGGACCCUGCAGGCCUUUAACUCUUGUCCCUUCUGUCCCACCCGUGCCUGUGCUCAGGGCCCAGCAGGGACCUGAGCUCACAGGUCCCUGCUGGGAGGGGGCACAGGGCAGGUUUCUUGCCAGGCUCUGGCCAAAGGCUAGUUUGGAAAGCAAUCCUGCCAGACACAGCGAGUUAACGGUGACACAGCAGAAUAGAGAGCAAAUCCCCCCCGUUCCUGGAGGCUGUGUGGUCCCACCUGGGUGGCAGAUCAGAGGUGCCUGGGUGCUGUCCUUGGCAGAUCUGUGCCUGUGAAAGAAAAACAUUCCUGCCCUCCAGGACACUUUGUGGCCUCCUGGAAAAGUGCUCUGACACCAUGGGAACCACAAGAAAUGGGGAAGAAGCUGCUCCCCCAGUCCUGCUGAGCCCCUGGCAUGAAAGAGAAGGGGAGGGUGGGAAAGUCACUGCAUUUUUUGGGUGCCAUUUCAGCAGGUGUGGGGUGAGGGAGGUGUGGGCAGGGACACGGACAAGGUCAGGCACUGAAGAUAAUUUCCUCAGCGUGGAUCACCGGGCUGGGAACAGGCUGGGACAUCCUGGGGGAUGCACAUCUUGCAUUCUGUACUCCAGGAGACACGGGAGUCGAGAGUGUAAACAAACCUUGCUUGUAAAGCAGAGCAGAAAUACUCAGUGCUUGCUUACAAACUGCAGCUUGCUGGGAAAAGGUUCUGGAUUUCCCCCCUGCCCUGAAGCUCCUGGGAUAUAUAAAAAAUAAAUUUUCCCCUCUAACUCCA